rnacentral:rRNA from 1 species
GAUGAACGCUGGCGGCGUGCAUAACACAUUCAAGUCGAACGAGAAUCAGAGUCUAGCUUGCUAGAGUCUGAGGAAAGUGGCGACGGGUGAGUAACGCGUGAGCAACCUACCUUAAUGCAGGGGAUAACGUUUGGAAACGAACGCUAAUACCACAUAACGUAUCGGAAUCGCAUGUUUCUGAUACCAAAGCUCCGGCGCAUUAAGAUGGGCCUGCGGUGCAUUAGCUAGUUGGUGGGGUAAUGGCCUACCAAGGCGACGAUGCAUAGCCGAACUGAGAGGUUAAUCGGCCACAUUGGGACUGAGACACGGCCCAAACUCCUACGGGAGGCAGCAGUGGGGAAUAUUGGGCAAUGGGCGCAAGCCUGACCCAGCAACGCCGCGUGAAGGAAGAAGGCCUUCGGGUUGUAAACUUCUUUUGGCAGGGACGAAUAAAAUGACGGUACCUGCAGAAUAAGCCACGGCUAACUACGUG